rnacentral:rRNA from 1 species
UACAGGGGGUGCAAACGUUGCUCGGAAUCAUUGGGCGUAAAGCGCACGUAGGCGGUUCGUUAUGUCGGAUGUGAAAGCCCUUGGCUUAACCGAGGAAGUGCAUCCGAAACUGGCGAGCUAGAGUACUAAAGAGGAUCGCGGAAUUCCCGGUGUAGAGGUGAAAUUCGUAGAUAUCGGGAGGAACACCGGUGGCGAAGGCGGCGACCUGGUCCUUUUACUGACGCUGAGGCGCGAAAGCGUGGGGAGCAAACAGG